AGGACAUAGUUUGGAAUCGAGUGUUCACACUACUUGUUCAGACUUAAAGAGAAUCUCGAGUUAAGGCUUCAGGGGAGUAUGGUCACAAGGCUGAAAUUAAAGGAAUGGCGGAAGGCCCACCCAGGAGUGGAGCCUGCGGCUUAAUUUGACUCAACACGGGAAACUUACCAAGACCGAACAGUAGAAGGAAUGACAGAUUAAGAGUUCUUUCAUGAUUUAUUGGGUAGUGGUGCAUGGCCGUUCUUAGUUGGUGGAGCGAUUUGUCAGGUUAAUUCCGGUAACGAACGAGACUGAAACCUAUUAAUUAGUUUCCUGCCUAUACGACAGGAAUUUUCGUAAGAUUAGUUGCUUCGGUAACACUUCUUAAAGGGACACAUUUCAAUUGUCUGCCUUUAAUUGAAUUUUCUGACUAAUGUUAGAAGUCAUUUAAAGGGAGAAAAAGAAAAAGGAAGCAUUCAGCAAUAACAGGUCUGUGAUGCCCUUAGACAUCUUGGGCCGCACGCGUGCUACAAUGGAGUUACUAGAGAGUAGAUAAUCAUACAAGCCUUUUGUACUAGGCUUCGGUCUAUACGAUUGGAAUUUGUGUGAUGUACCGAGAUUGAAAUAGUUAAGGAAAACUCAAAAGAACGUACAUGACAGGGAUAAAUGAUUGGAAUUAUUUGUUUUGAACGAGGAAUUCCUUGUAAUAUCGAGUCACUAACUCGAGAUGAAUACGUCCCUGCCCUUUGUACACACCGCCCGUCGCUCCUACCGAUUGAAUAAGGAGGUGAAAUUCCAGGACUGACUCUAACAAGAGAUGGAAAUGGAUUUAAAUCUCCUUAUUUAGAGGAAGGAGAAGUCGUAAC
rnacentral:rRNA from 1 species